CGACCGGCGCACGGGCGAGUAACGCGUAUCCAACCUGCCCUUUACUAUGGGACAGCCCGUCGAAAGGCGGAUUAAUACCGUAUGUUGUCAUGUUGAUGCAUAUUUUCAUGACCAAAGGCUUCGGCCGGUAAAGGAUGGGGAUGCGUCUGAUUAGCUUGCCGGCGGGGUAACGGCCCACCGGGGCGACGAUCAGUAGGGGUUCUGAGAGGAAGGUCCCCCACAUUGGAACUGAGACACGGUCCAAACUCCUACGGAAGGCAGCAG
rnacentral:rRNA from 1 species